rnacentral:rRNA from 1 species
AUACAGAGGGUGCGAGCGUUAAUCGGAAUUACUGGGCGUAAAGCGCGCGUAGGCGGCUGAUUAAGUCAGAUGUGAAAUCCCAGGGCUCAACCUUGGAACUGCAUCUGAUACUGGUCAGCUGGAGUUUAGGAGAGGGAAGUAGAAUUUCAGGUGUAGCGGUGAAAUGCAUAGAUAUCUGAAGGAAUACCAGUGGCGAAGGCGGCUUCCUGGCCUAAAACUGACGCUGAGGUGCGAAAGCGUGGGUAGCAAACGGGAUUAGAAACCCCAGUAGUCC